UUUGUUAGUAAAUAAAAAUUAUGAAGCAAAAAAUUAUGGCGGUAUUUUAAGCUUUUCAGAGGAAUUUGCUCUUUAAUGGAUAAAACACCUAAAUCUUACUUGAAUUUGUUAAGUCAAUUUGUAUACCACUAUAAAAACAAUUAAUAACUCUAAUUGUUUAAAUUUAUUAAAUUAAAGUAUAUUAAGUCAAGGUGCAGUAAAAAUUUAAGAAUGAAGUGAAUUACAUUUCUUUUUAGAAAUAAAAAAUUAAAUUUACAAAUAGGAUUUGAAAGUAAAAUUAAAAUAGAAUGUUAAUUUGAAUAAAGCUCUAAAAUAUGUAC
rnacentral:rRNA from 1 species